rnacentral:rRNA from 1 species
AGUGAACGCUGGCGGUAGGCCUAACACAUGCAAGUCGAACGGCAGCACAGGAGAGCUUGCUCUCUGGGUGGCGAGUGGCGGACGGGUGGGGAAUACAUCGGAAUCUACUCUGUCGUGGGGGAUAACGUAGGGAAACUUACGCUAAUACCGCAUACGACCUACGGGUGAAAGCAGGGGACCUUCGGGCCUUGCGCGAUUGAAUGAGCCGAUGUCGGAUUCGCUCGUUGGCGGGGUAAAGGCCCACCAAGGCGACGAUCCGUAGCUGGUCUGAGAGGAUGAUCAGCCACACUGGAACUGAGACACGGUCCAGACUCCUACGGGAGGCAGCAGUGGGGAAUAUUGGACAAUGGGCGCAAGCCUGAUCCAUCCAUACCGCGUGGGUGAAGAAGGCCUUCGGGUUGUAAAGCCCUUUUGUUGGGAAAGAAAUCCAGCUGGCUAAUACCCGGUUGGGAUGACGGUACCCAAAGAAUAAGCACCGGCUAACUUCGUGCCAGCAGCCGCAGUAA